rnacentral:rRNA from 1 species
UACGUAGGGGGCAAGCGUUGUCCGGAAUUACUGGGCGCAAAGCGUGCGCAGGCGGUUAUGCAAGACAGAUGUGAAAUCCCCGGGCUCAACCUGGGAACUGCAUUUGUGACUGCAUGGCUGGAGUGCGGCAGAGGGGGAUGGAAUUCCGCGUGUAGCAGUGAAAUGCGUAGAUAUGCGGAGGAACACCGAUGGCGAAGGCAAUCCCCUGGGCCUGCACUGACGCUCAUGCACGAAAGCGUGGGGAGCAAACAGG